AGAAUCAGGGCCCUAUAAAAACCUUCGAGCAGGACUCUGGCUGGGCUGCUGGAUGGACUAGCUGCUUUAUGGACCUGCAGCCUGGUGGACCGCCUGCCUGAUGGACCUGCUGGCUGCUACUGUACCUCCUCUAGGACUCUCGGGGACCACAUCUCUACCCACCCAGUCCCAGACCAAAGCACACCUCCAGCGAGGAGCUGAGUGAUCUGUGUAAAGCCAGUGACUCACGCCCUUGGGCUGUGGACAAUGGGAAACACUGAGGUCCUGAAAGCUUGAGGCAAAGGAGUCAGAGAAGAACCUGGAAGAUCCUCAACAAACUCCCCCCCCCCCAGCUCACAGGGAUUUGAUGACAUAACUACAUAGAUGUUCAUGACAGCUCCUAUGUCAGGCUCCUGAUCAAUCUUCUUGAUGGAGAAAGACACUAAACAAGAAUCAAAUAUCUUUCUUUCUCUGUUCUAGUUUAACUCUGUACCACCUGGAGUUUCCAGUGACUUUUGGCUCCAAAUGUGGUUAUAAGCCCUGUUGUUGCCUUGAUUUGUUUUUCUAUUAUUUGGAUGGAGUUCUUUCCCCCCAGUUUAUCCUCAUUAGGACCCUUAUCCUCCAAACUACAGGUUUAUUUCAAGCCUUUGUUUUUCUCAUUUGGGCUCUGUCUUUCCUUCCAUCCCCUACCUGGGUCCCUAGUAAACCUUAAUUGACAUUUUAGAAGCCUCUUCUUUUCUUCCUUGAUGUCAGUUGUUUUUGUGGGUCACAAUCAGGGCACCAGAUGUGGGACCAUAUCCAUCCUUGCUCAGAAAGUUCUCAUCUCUGCCUUCCUGAAAUCCAGGAUGCUUUAUUCAGCACACACCCAUUGGGUGCCAGAGUGCCAGGGAGCCACAGCAGGGAUUAGACAGGAAGCCAGCCUUCAGAGGAUGCUACCAGGAGCACAGUAUGUGCUGAUGAAUUGUGAUGCAGAUUAUUUAAAACUUCAUUGUGUCUAAAGGAAUUGCUCUAAGAUAAUGCUGGACUUUCCUGGCAGACAUUGGAGUCUCCUAGGAGGUGGAGGGGAAGGAAAAUGGAUUGUCUGGCCCACUUCCCCCAUCCCACUCCCAACCAGAUUGUACUGCUGUGGAGAUAGUGUUUGAAAGGAAAGAGUUUUCCAUUUCUACUUCUCAGGCAACCUCAGGGCACAAAAGAAGGGUAAUUGGUAGGAACAUGAUUGUUCCUUUUCAGCUAGGGCUUAGAAAACAGAGUCAUUAAAAGCUCUCUGAGCUUGGGAGAAAGUGUGUGCGCGCUUGUGUGCACACACGUGUCCCACAUGUGGGGAAGCUGCAUGUGAGAAUGAGGACAGAAAGUGCGUGUGCCCUUGUGAAGCAGCGGUGUGGAGGGUGGAGCAGGAAUGUGGAGAGGGUUUGGGGCCCUUUCCCCCACUAGCAUCAAAAUUGCAGUAACUGCAGAUUAAGUGCUGCUGACCCCGGGAGACAAGCGGCUCUGUUUCCAAGGGAACCACAUGGCUCAAUCAAGGGCCCUGAAAGAGAGGGUAAGCCAGGAUGGAGCAGCCCUUCAACCCUCCAGAGCAGCAGUAUGUACAGCGUAACCCUCAACCUUGCUUUAGCCUACUGAGGGUCCCUGAGCAGGGUCCUCCUGGUCCCUUAGCAGGCCCCUGAUCCUAGGAGAGGUGGGCAAGUAGCUAAGGCACUACUUGGCUAUCCACCACCCUCUUCCUGGCCCCCAUGAUCUCUGAAUGACGUUGGGAUAGUCCUUUUGCUUCUCUGGGUGUGGCUUCCCCAUCAGCACAAUGAAAGCAUUGGACAAAGUCUUUAUUGAUCCCCCCAGCUCUAUGACUUUCUCUGGAGGCCAUUCCCCUCCCUGCCAUCACAUCCAGACCCCCUGGCUCAAAGUGCAAGUAGAAUGGAAAACCCAGGGAAGCCAUUCUUCUUGUUGAUCUGCCCCUACCUAAUAGCUCCAGCUGUGUCAUCUCUGUAGCAACUGAUGCUUCUUCAUCUUUAGGGAGUGAGGGAGGGAGUUCAGAAGGCCUAUGGUGUUUUUCUUAGCAGCUUCACACAGGGGCAGAAAUGGGAGUUGGAUGUCAGGAGGGGGUCUGAGCUGAGGAGAAGGUGUGAAGGACCCCCACAGCCCUUCAGUGAGGCCACCAGAAAGUCAGGGGCUGAGACCCACCCCUGUCCAGGGCAUCCUGGCCCAUGGGUCAGUUCAACCUUCACAGAACCCAGCAUAAGGCAGCCCAGACUCCCGUGAUGAGAUCAGAAAGACAUGGCAGUGCCAUGGGGCAGAAAGAACCCUUGCAGUCAGGCCAGCUGGUUUCACUUUCCACCUCUUCCAGGUCAGUGAUUCUCAACUCUGGCUGCCCAUUAGAACCACUAAGAGAGCUUUUAAAAAUGCCCAGGUCUGCCCCCAGGACAUCCCUGGAUGGGAUCCAUGCUUCAAUAUUUAAAAUGUUCCCCCAUGGACUUCUGUUUCUAGCCAUAAAGAAGUAAUAGGAACUGAAUUUACCUUUCUAUUUUAAACAACUAGAAAUCUGGACAGGGUGUAGGAUAGGAUGGUUUUCUGACAAUGUUGAACAACAGGCAGGGCAAGACUGUAAUUGCUUAGAGAGAUGAAACAAACGAAAGGAGCCCUACACUUUCAUCAACUUACCAUUCUGGAUUGAGGAAAUAUAUUGAAGUUUGGAGAGACCAAGGUGGCUAGAAUUUGUGGGGAAGAGGACUGGAGAGGUGAGAGCUGCAAAGAGAGCGAAAGCUCCAGAGCAUGCCGGGGGUCCUCUUUGGGCUCUGGCUAAGAACUCAGUACAUGUGAAAGGAAACCACCAGGAAAAGAAUCACUAGAGAGCAACAGCCCAAACAAUUCCAGAGCUCAAACAGGGCUAGGAAUUGUCUUUGUUCACCCCGGCCAGUGUGGGACACAGAGGUGUGUCCUAAAUAGUAGGGCUAAAUUAUCUCUAGAAUAAAGGGUGCUCUGGAAUCACCCUAAAAAACAUAAAAUAAUAAGCCUCGAAAAGAUCCAGCUUCUUUCAGGUAACUCAUGUUCCAGAACAAAACCUAAGAAUAUUUAUGGGAAUGUUUAAAUAUCCAGUACCCAACAAGGUACCAUUCACAAUGUCUGACAUCCAACCCCAAAUUACCAUUGUGGAGUUCCCAUUGUGGCUCAGUGGGUUAAGAAUCCAAUGGAGUCUCUGGGAGGAUGCGAGUUGG